CCUACGGGAGGCAGCAGUGGGGAAUAUUGGACAAUGGGGGGAACCCUGAUCCAGCCAUGCCGCGUGUGUGAAGAAGGCCCUCGGGUUGUAAAGCACUUUCAGUGAGGAAGAACGCCUGGUGGUUAAUACCCAUCAGGAAAGACAUCACUCACAGAAGAAGCACCGGCUAAUUCCGUGCCAGCAGCCGCGGUAAUACGGAGGGUGCGAGCGUUAAUCGGAAUUACUGGGCGUAAAGCGCGCGUAGGUGGCUUGAUAAGCCGGUUGUGAAAGCCCCGGGCUCAACCUGGGAACGGCAUCCGGAACUGUCAAGCUAGAGUGCAGGAGAGGAAGGUAGAAUUCCCGGUGUAGCGGUGAAAUGCGUAGAGAUCGGGAGGAAUACCAGUGGCGAAGGCGGCCUUCUGGACUGACACUGACACUGAGGUGCGAAAGCGUGGGUAGCAAACAGGAUUAGAUACCCCUGUAGUC
rnacentral:rRNA from 1 species